CGCGCAGGCGGUUUAUUAAGUCAGAUGUGAAAGCCCGGGGCUUAACCCCGGAAGUGCAUUUGAAACUAAUAGACUUGAGUAUGGGAGAGGGAAGUGGAAUUCCUGGUGUAGAGGUGAAAUUCGUAGAUAUCAGGAGGAACACCUGUGGCGAAGGCGACUUCCUGGACCAAUACUGACGCUGAGGCGCGAAGGCGUGGGGAGCAAACA
rnacentral:rRNA from 1 species